GGCUUCUCUCCCUGGCACUCAGACCUGCACCCAUCCCCCACAUCUCACUCCCAGCUGGAGCCUGAUGGGGUAACAGCAGCACCCACUUCCCAAUUUUCCACAUUCUUUCCUGCCCACUCAGCCUGACAGCCUUGACCAGGGUCAGAAUUCCACAGCAAACAUCUCAGUCCCUUCCCACAGGAACACUGAGGUCCCUGGCACACCCCACGCCCUGCCCUCCAAGCACUGGACUCAGGAACAGCAACGGGAGGAAGUUGGAUGAAGAAAGCCUUUGCCCCCACCUCUACACCCCCGCCCCAGCCCUGUCCUGGGUGUGAGCAGACACGAUGAUGCUGGGGGCACAGCCCUUCCCGGCACCAAAUCACUCUACACCCUCACACCACAGGAACUUGAGCCCAAAGGCCAAACGGAAGGUUCAGGCCAGGAAAGCUGAGCCCAGCUGGCUGAGGAGCUGCUGCCGGCAUCUGGAAGACUGCUCCCCACAGCAAGAAGUGGUGGCUCUUCUGUACAGUGGAGAAAGAAGGGGGACCCCACCAGGGCUAUGGAGAGACAGUAGAGGCAGGACUGAACCGUCAGCAAAGAUUAAAAGGAUGACCUGAGGCUGGCAACCACAAAACCAAGAAGCCAGCGGGGGCUGCCCCUUCCAAGUCUCACCAAUGACCCAGAGCAGGUUCCAGAGCCCAAAGGCCCAAAAGUGCAAUUCCCAAAAGCCAAGGUCUGGGAGCCAUCAAGGAGCUCCCAGAGAUCCAGCGACGCUCAGAGGGCAAGGGUGUCUUUGAUGAGCCUGCGCAUGGUGGUGGUGACUGAGGUGCCCAGGGCAUCAGUGAUCUGGAAGGAGAUCUUGUACAGGUAGGGCUGCACGUCCCGCAAGCCUGUGUCAAACACGUUAUCCACCUCCGACUGUGUGGGCAUCUUGGGCAAGUACUCAUGCCGAUUCAUCACCUCCACGAUGUUGAUGAUCUUCUCGCAGAGUUUCUCACCCACCUUCUCCCGGCAGAUCUGCCGCUCCUGCUCCGUGGCCAGGGCUACCACAUGCACCUUGACCGUCCACACUUCCCAUGGGAUGCACUCGUCUGAGAAUGGCCAGCGAGACUUCUUCUUCUGGUAGAACUCCAAGGACAUCUGCCCCAGCCCAUCGCCACCAGAGUUGCGCAGUGCAUCCUGGGAAGAAGGGAACGAAUGAGCAAGCCAAGGCCUCUGAGUUCCCACCUGUGAGGGCCUGCUUCCCACACCCCAGGGAAUUAUGCUCUCUUAGCUCUAGUCAUCAUCCAAGCAUGGCAAGGAAACAAGACUGGGAGAGGGUAAACGAUUUGGGCUUAGUGACACAGCAAACUGCCAGCCUGAAAUUGUGUAGUUCAAGCAAACCAACAAAAUCUGUCUCCAAGCCCAACUCCUCCAGCUUGGUGAAGAACUGAUAUUACAGGAAUAACUACUGGUCUGCAGGCACGUAUUCUGUGCUAGGAACUUAACACACACAAUCCCACUGGCUCCUCCCAACAACCCCAUCAGCUUUCACCAAGGCACGAUGAGGCUUAGAGAAGUAAGGUAACUUGCGAGAGUCACAUGCCUAUGGAUGGCUGGACCAGGGUUUGAAUCUGGAUUGUCUGAUUUCUAAAUCCUUGCUUUUCACCUUUGCAUUGCAUCAAGGGCCUCCUCCUUCCACACCACCCCUUUAGCCCAUAUCCUUCAAAAUGUUCUAAUCACCUCGUCAACAUUUCCCUCUUCCCCUGUAAACUCUAUUUGUCUUCUCCACUGCCAAUUAAACAUAAUUCUUUUGAUAUUUUUUAAAGAAACUGGGUCUUACUCUGUCACCCAGGCUGGAGGGCAGUGGAGCAAUCAUGGCUCACUGCAGCCUCGGACUCCUGGGCUCAAGCGAUCCUCCCACAUUAGCCUCCUGAGUAGCUGAUACUACAGGCACACUUGGCUAAGUUUUAAUUUUUUUUAUUUUGUUAAGAGACGGGGUAUUGUUACGUUAUCCAGGCUGGUCUCGAAUUCCUGGGCUCAAGCAAUACUCCUGCUUCAGCCUCCCAAAGUGCUGGGAUUACGGUCACAAGCCACUGCACCCAGUUCACAGUCUCUUUUAUGAGCUAAGGAAGAGGGAACUGUAGAGCCCAGUGGUCCUUGCUCAAAAAGAGGGAAACCAAGCAACAGAAUGGGGAAGGGAAGUUGAAGGACAGACCAGACCUGGCACUUCUCCCUCUUCUCCCCUGAGAAGCAAACAGGACCAUCCAGUCCAAUGAUUCUGCCCUUGCCACCCCAUGGGUGUGAGUGGCCCCAUACUCCUCUUCCUAGGGCAGCCAGGACCCUGAAGUUCCUUUCCAUCUGAGUUAAUACCAACCCAGAGGGUAAGGAUGCCUGAAAUCCUGAACCACACUCAUCAGGGAAGAGGCUUUCCUUCACUGACAAACCAAGGUCAAGUAACCUUGAAUGGCUAAUGCAUCUGUAAUGUUUACUGUGUGCCAGGCUCUGUUCCAAACACUGGGCAUAUUUGACUUAUUCAGUCCUUGCAGUGCACACACCCUUUGAGGUAAGCAAGAUUAUUAUUGCAAUUUUGAGUGGAGCCGCUAGCCCAAGGUCACACACUUGCUGGGUGGCAG
rnacentral:lncRNA from 1 species